AUACUUACCUGGCAGGGGCAAUACCAUGAUCACGAAGGUGGUUCACCCAGGACGAGGCUCUGCCAUUGCACUUGGGUGGUGCUGACUCCAAAUGUGGGAAUCUCAACUGUGGGGCAGUCGUGGGCUGGAGGUUAGGGAAGCAGCCUCAUGACCGGAAGGUCGCAGGUUC
rnacentral:snRNA from 1 species